AAAAAGGCAAACCCUGGGUUUCCGUGUCCAACUUUGAUUGUCCGUCUUAUAUGAAAUUUUUUUAUAAUUCGUAUUUUCAUUGUUGUUAGAUGAUAAUACAUGAUUAAUAUUUUAUGCGUGACUUGUCUUUUUAAUUUUUUUUAUAUUUUUUUCAAAUAAGACGGACGGUCAAACAUUGGGCACGGAAACCAGGGUUUGUCUUUUU
rnacentral:pre_miRNA from 1 species